rnacentral:rRNA from 1 species
UACGAAGGGGGCUAGCGUUGUUCGGAAUUAUUGGGCGUAAAGCGCACGUAGGCGGAUCGAUCAGUCAGGGGUGAAAUCCCAGAGCUCAACUCUGGAACUGCCUUUGAUACUGUCGAUCUGGAGUAUGGAAGAGGUGAGUGGAAUUCCGAGUGUAGAGGUGAAAUUCGUAGAUAUUCGGAGGAACACCAGUGGCGAAGGCGGCUCACUGGUCCAUUACUGACGCUGAGGUGCGAAAGCGUGGGGAGCAAACAGG